UACGGAGGGUGCGAGCGUUAUUCGGAAUUACUGGGCGUAAAGCGCGUGUAGGCGGGGAUGCAAGUCUGAUGUGAAAGCCCCGGGCUUAACCUGGGAAGUGCAUUGGAAACUGUAUUUCUUGAGUGCUGGAGAGGAAGGGGGAAUUCCCGGUGUAGAGGUGAAAUUCGUAGAGAUCGGGAGGAAUACCAGUGGCGAAGGCGCCCUUCUGGACGGCAACUGACGCUGAGACGCGAAAGCGUGGGGAGCAAACAGGAUUAGAUACCCCUGUAGUCCC
rnacentral:rRNA from 1 species